CCUGUUAAGGCAAAAUUUAUUAGGACCCAAGCACGAGUCAUUGGCAAAGAUGUACAUCCGGCUCGUGGCUCCGUUGGCACUAUAUGUAUUUGUAUUCACCAAUCACUACGUUGACGUCAACGGGUGCUACCCUUACCAAAUCCCAGCCAACAGCUCAGUUGUUCUCUACCUCGUGGGAUAUUCUUCCGAGUUAAGUCAAUCCAAUAUACGCUGUGUCAGAUCAUACAAAUC
rnacentral:lncRNA from 1 species